UUUAUGGAGAGUUUGAUCCUGGCUCAGGAUGAACGCUGGCGGCGUGCCUAAUACAUGCAAGUCGAGCGAACGGACGAGAAGCUUGCUUCUCUGAUGUUAGCGGCGGACGGGUGAGUAACACGUGGAUAACCUACCUAUAAGACUGGGAUAACUUCGGGAAACCGGAGCUAAUACCGGAUAAUAUUUUGAACCGCAUGGUUCAAAAGUGAAAGACGGUCUUGCUGUCACUUAUAGAUGGAUCCGCGCUGCAUUAGCUAGUUGGUAAGGUAACGGCUUACCAAGGCAACGAUGCAUAGCCGACCUGAGAGGGUGAUCGGCCACACUGGAACUGAGACACGGUCCAGACUCCUACGGGAGGCAGCAGUAGGGAAUCUUCCGCAAUGGGCGAAAGCCUGACGGAGCAACGCCGCGUGAGUGAUGAAGGUCUUCGGAUCGUAAAACUCUGUUAUUAGGGAAGAACAUAUGUGUAAGUAACUGUGCACAUCUUGACGGUACCUAAUCAGAAAGCCACGGCUAACUACGUGCCAGCAGCCGCGGUAAUACGUAGGUGGCAAGCGUUAUCCGGAAUUAUUGGGCGUAAAGCGCGCGUAGGCGGUUUUUUAAGUCUGAUGUGAAAGCCCACGGCUCAACCGUGGAGGGUCAUUGGAAACUGGAAAACUUGAGUGCAGAAGAGGAAAGUGGAAUUCCAUGUGUAGCGGUGAAAUGCGCAGAGAUAUGGAGGAACACCAGUGGCGAAGGCGACUUUCUGGUCUGUAACUGACGCUGAUGUGCGAAAGCGUGGGGAUCAAACAGGAUUAGAUACCCUGGUAGUCCACGCCGUAAACGAUGAGUGCUAAGUGUUAGGGGGUUUCCGCCCCUUAGUGCUGCAGCUAACGCAUUAAGCACUCCGCCUGGGGAGUACGACCGCAAGGUUGAAACUCAAAGGAAUUGACGGGGACCCGCACAAGCGGUGGAGCAUGUGGUUUAAUUCGAAGCAACGCGAAGAACCUUACCAAAUCUUGACAUCCUUUGACAACUCUAGAGAUAGAGCCUUCCCCUUCAGGGGACAAAGUGACAGGUGGUGCAUGGUUGUCGUCAGCUCGUGUCGUGAGAUGUUGGGUUAAGUCCCGCAACGAGCGCAACCCUUAAGCUUAGUUGCCAUCAUUAAGUUGGGCACUCUAAGUUGACUGCCGGUGACAAACCGGAGGAAGGUGGGGAUGACGUCAAAUCAUCAUGCCCCUUAUGAUUUGGGCUACACACGUGCUACAAUGGACAAUACAAAGGGCAGCGAAACCGCGAGGUCAAGCAAAUCCCAUAAAGUUGUUCUCAGUUCGGAUUGUAGUCUGCAACUCGACUACAUGAAGCUGGAAUCGCUAGUAAUCGUAGAUCAGCAUGCUACGGUGAAUACGUUCCCGGGUCUUGUACACACCGCCCGUCACACCACGAGAGUUUGUAACACCCGAAGCCGGUGGAGUAACCUUUUAGGAGCUAGCCGUCGAAGGUGGGACAAAUGAUUGGGGUGAAGUCGUAACAAGGUAGCCGUAUCGGAAGGUGCGGCUGGAUCACCUCCUUU
rnacentral:rRNA from 1 species